rnacentral:rRNA from 1 species
GACGAACGCUGGCGGCGUGCUUAACACAUGCAAGUCGAACGAGGCUCCUUCUUCGGUUGGGGUUCUAGUGGCGAACGGGUGAGUAACACGUGGGCAACCUGCCCCUGGCUCUGGGAUAACUCCAAGAAAUUGGGGCUAAUACCGGAUAUGACCGCUGAUCGCAUGGUCUGGUGGUGGAAAGAUUUAUCGGCUGGGGAUGGGCCCGCGGCCUAUCAGCUUGUUGGUGGGGUAGUGGCCUACCAAGGCGACGACGGGUAGCCGGCCUGAGAGGGUGACCGGCCACACUGGGACUGAGACACGGCCCAGACUCCUACGGGAGGCAGCAGUGGGGAAUAUUGCGCAAUGGGCGAAAGCCUGACGCAGCGACGCCGCGUGAGGGAUGACGGCCU